GAAUAAUCGUAACCACGUUUAAAACAGAAGAUAGAUUAUGGAAUUAAGAUUAUCUAGUAAGAUGACUCGACUGAUGUUUGUGCUGUACAUCAUAAGAGAAAUAUGUAAUGUAAAAAGCCAAAAUACAGGAGAUCUGCGCAUACUUGAAGGAUUGCAAGAACAUAAAGGACGCUUAGAAAUAUUUUAUAAUGAUACAUGGGGAACUGUGUGUGACGAUUCUUUCGACAAUAUUGAUGCACUUGUAGCU